rnacentral:rRNA from 1 species
UGGGGAAUAUUGCACAAUGGGGGAAACCCUGAUGCAGCGACGCCGCGUGAAGGAAGAAGUAUCUCGGUAUGUAAACUUCUAUCAACAGGGAAGAUAGUGACGGUACCUGACUAAGAAGCCCCGGCUAACUACGUGCCAGCAGCCGCGGUAAUACGUAGGGGGCAAGCGUUAUCCGGAUUUACUGGGUGUAAAGGGAGCGUAGACGGACUGGCAAGUCUGAUGUGAAAGGCGGGGGCUCAACCCCUGGACUGCAUUGGAAACUGUUAGUCUUGAGUGCCGGAGAGGUAAGCGGAAUUCCUAGUGUAGCGGUGAAAUGCGUAGAUAUUAGGAGGAACACCAGUGGCGAAGGCGGCUUACUGGACGGUAACUGACGUUGAGGCUCGAAAGCGUGGGGAGCAAACAGG